rnacentral:lncRNA from 1 species
CUUUUCUUGACUUCUGAGAACCAGAACUUUUUUAUUUUUAUUUUUUUACACUGCUUUGGUAUAUGGCUUGUACUGAAGUUUUUGGGGAUCUGAUACUGUUCCCAUGGGCUAUACAGCCUUCAAUGCCAAGGAUAGUGUAGUGCUGACAUCUGUGUCUGCCACAGGGCCAGCGCUGUACAUGGCCAUGGUAGACAUGCCACGUGAGAAGAUGGAGGAGAUCAGGUCCUGCAGAGUUGGGGAGUCGAACACUGGAGGCUUAGUGCCUUCUGUCUUCAUCAUUCUGACUUGAUGCUCGGCUGGGAUCAUAUUCUAACUUCCAGUGGGUGUUCUGCGCUGUCUUGGCCCUUGUGACUCCAGCACACAACAUGAAGGAAGGCAGCUUUCAACACCUCAGGUCAUAAAAUGCACCAAAAAAUGAUGUAAUGACACCGAAAUAAAUAAAGGAUGCUCAAUGAAUAGCUAAAUCCUGGAGAAACUUACACGGAAAAUGAAAACAGUUCUGACCCUUCAAGUCUUUACCCUCCUCCAUACACAAACACAGAUGGGCAAUUCACACACAUAAAUGCAAGGUUUUCAACAUCCAAUAGUUUGUAGGAAUGAAAGAAAGUAAAAAGUUAAACACUUCAUACAGUGCCUUUCCUUGUCCUUUCAAAGCUCAAAGGAAGUCAUGCAACAACAUUCUCCUUUGGGGUUGAAACC